AUUUUUGGUUUUAUCAGCAUCACGUAUAAAUCUUUCGCCUUUCUCCAAAGAUUUCCGUGCAGAGGAGCUUUACUGAGUUUAUUCUAUGUUGUAAAACCUCAUGAAUUAUUAUUAGGC